CACGUAGGGGACGAGCGUUGUCCGGAGUUACUGGGCGUAAAGGGCGUGUAGGUGGUUUCGUAAGUCUGGCGUGAAAUUUUUCGGCUUAACCGGGAAAGGUCGUCGGAUACUGCGAGGCUAGAGGACGGUAGAGGCGUGUGGAAUUCCGGGUGUAGUGGUGAAAUGCGUAGAGAUCCGGAGGAACACCAGUGGCGAAGGCGACACGCUGGGCCGUACCUGACACUGAUGCGCGACAGCAUGGGGAGCAACCAGG
rnacentral:rRNA from 1 species